rnacentral:rRNA from 1 species
GACGAACGCUGGCGGCGUGCUUAACACAUGCCAGUCGAACGGUGAAGCUCCAGCUUGCUGGAGUGGAUCAGUGGCGAACGGGUGAGUAACACGUGAGCAACCUGCCCCUGACUCUGGAAUAAGCGCUGGAAACGGCGUCUAAUACUGGAUACGAGAAGGGUCCGCAUGGGCACUUUCUGGAAAGUUUUUCGGUUGGGGAUGGGCUCGCGGCCUAUCAGCUUGUUGGUGAGGUAAUGGCUCACCAAGGCGACGACGGGUAGCCGGCCUGAGAGGGCGACCGGCCACACGGGGACGGAGACACGGCCCAGACCCCUACGGGGGGCAGCAGGGGGGAAUAUUGCACAAGGGGCGAAAGCCUGAUGCAGGGACCCCGGGUGGGGGAGGCCGGCCUUCGGGUUGAAAACCUUUUUCAGCAGGGAAGAAGCGAAAGGGCCGGUACCUGCAAAAAAAGCCCCGGCAAACUACGG